rfam:Gossypium hirsutum cultivar TM-1 unplaced genomic scaffold scaffold458.1, whole genome shotgun sequence
GAGCCGUGCAGUGAGCACAGAGCGAACUAUUCUUUUGUCUUUUACUAAAGAAUACCAUGUGCUCGCCGCUUAUAGCAUUGAAAAUUCCUUUGUUGGAAUGGCCUUGGGACCCUUCA